GAUGAACGCUGGCGGCGUGCUUAACACAUGCAAGUCGAACGGUGAAGCUCCAGCUUGCUGGAGUGGAUCAGUGGCGAACGGGUGAGUAACACGUGAGCAACCUGCCCCUGACUCUGGGAUAACAGCCGGAAACGGCUGCUAAUAACGGAUAUGCACCAUGAACGCAUGUUCUGUGGUGGGAAAGAUUUUUCGGUUGGGGAUGGGCUCGCGGCCUAUCAGCUUGUUGGUGAGGUAAUGGCUAACCAAGGCGUCGACGGGUAGCCGGCCUGAGAGGGUGACCGGCCACACUGGGACUGAGACACGGCCCAGACUCCUACGGGAGGCAGCAGUGGGGAAUAUUGCACAAUGGGCGAAAGCCUGAUGCAGCAACGCCGCGUGAGGGAUGACGGCCUUCGGGUUGUAAACCUCUUUUAGCAGGGAAGAAGCGAGAGUGACGGUACCUGCAGAAAAAGCGCCGGCUAACUACGUG
rnacentral:rRNA from 1 species